CUCAGACACCCUAGAGUCCCUCAGAGGCUAGCAGUAUCUACAGGGAAAUGGUCCUCAGAAUCUCAGAACAAGACAGUGAUUUAGAGAUGUAUGCCUGUGUAUCUCUCCAGCCAUCACCUAUGCAUAUUUACUUGUUGGUGAUAGAACCAGAGGAGUUCCCAAGGCCUGUCCAGAUGUGUUUUUCUAUUAGAAGAGGCCAAUCAGUAACCAAUUUUGGAGGCUCUGAGUAUCUCCUGCUGCCACUCCAAAAACAGCUUGCUGAGAGAUCAACUCCUCUCAAAAUCCUGUUCUUCAAGUUUACUGACCCCAAGAGAAGUGCAAUGGUUUACAUUAAAGCCGUUUAAAAACAA